rnacentral:rRNA from 1 species
AUACGUAGGGGGCGAGCGUUGUCCGGAAUGAUUGGGCGUAAAGGGCGCGUAGGCGGCGCGGUAAGUCUGGAGUGAAAGUCCUGCUUUCAAGGUGGGAAUUGCUUUGGAUACUGCCGCGCUUGAGUGCAGGAGAGGUUAUCGGAAUUCCCGGUGUAGCGGUGAAAUGCGUAGAGAUCGGGAGGAACACCAGUGGCGAAGGCGGGUAACUGGACUGCAACUGACGCUGAGGCGCGAAAGUGUGGGGAGCAAACAGGAUUAGAUACCCUGGUAGUCCACACUGUAAACGAUGAAUGCUAGGUGUAAGAGGUAUCGACCCCUUUUGUGCCGGAGUCAACACAAUAAGCAUUCCGCCUGGGGAGUACGGCCGCAAGGUUAAAACUCAAAGGAAUUGGCGGGG